UGAUUAGGGUGAAGUCGUAACAAGGUAGCCGUAGGAGAACCUGCGGCUGGAUCACCUCCUUUCUAAGGAAUAA
rnacentral:rRNA from 1 species